UACGUAGGACCCAAGCGUUGUCCGGAUUUACUGGGUGUAAAGGGUGCGUAGGCGGAUUUGUGCGUCAGAGGUUAAAGACCCCGGCUUAACCGGGGAAGUGCCUUUGAUACGGCAGGUCUUGAGUGCGAGCGAGGAUGGUAGAAUUCCUGGUGUAGCGGUGAAAUGCGUAGAUAUCAGGAGGAAUACCCGUGGCGAAGGCGGCCAUCUGACUCGAUACUGACGCUCAGGCACGAAAGCGUGGGGAGCAAACAGG
rnacentral:rRNA from 1 species